rnacentral:rRNA from 1 species
UAGNUAUUCAANUUGUUCAGAGGUGAAAUUCUUGGAUCUUAUUGAAGACUAACUACUGCGAAAGCAUUUGCCAAGGAUGUUUUCAUUAWYCAAGAACGAAAGUUAGGGGAUCGAAACGAUCWGAUACCGUCGUANUCUUAUCCNUAAACUAUGCCRACUAGGGAUCGGAUGAUGUUAUUUUUAAUGACUCA